GUUGAGGGGAGAAUUGCAUAGGGAGGCAGCUAACCAUUGUGGUUUUGUCUGAAGUUCAAGCUUUAUUCAUGAAAGACAUCGCUUUUCUUUGCCUCUUCAGUAAGUUCUGAAUAGUGACACUUUUUCCAAAAUUAGACCCAUUGGUGACUCACUGAGUUCUCUGGGGGCCUCUUCAGACAGCCCAGUCCCAGCAGCUCUCCGUGGGUGGAGGGACAGUGAGCCCCUGGAAGAAUCAAAGCUGAAGAAAGAGUUUCGCUGCCCGAUACCUGUUAAAUGUCCUCUGACCAAGUUUCUUUACCUAGAGACUCUCACGGCACAAAGACCUGGCCAGCAGGUAACACCAGGAGAGGGAGAACGUCUCUCCAAACUUCCUCCCCAGUCAUUGGGCAAAGAGUUGCUUUGGAGGAAAUGGAACAUCAAGACCACCCUUGGUGGCCACCAAUGGGGCAAAGAUAAUCAGCACCUUCCAAAGGUUGUUCAAGACCCACAACCAGAGUUAUAGUUUAGGAUAUACAAUAUAAUGGAGGAUGCUGGGAACCUCCCUUGUGCUGGAGCGUAUCAUGGUCCGGCA